rnacentral:tRNA from 1 species
ACGUCGAUAGCUUAAUGGAAAAGCGUUGGUCUCCAAAACCAGAAGAUGUGGGUUCAAAUCCUACUCGGCGUGCCA